rnacentral:rRNA from 1 species
UACAGAGGGGGCAAGCGUUAUUCGGAAUUAUUGGGCGUAAAGGGCGCGUAGGCGGCUUGGCAAGUGGAAGGUGAAAUCCCUCGGCUUAACCGAGGAACUGCCCUCCAAACUGCUUGGCUUGAGACCGGGAGAGGUGAGUGGAAUUCCCAGUGUAGCGGUGAAAUGCGUAGAUAUUGGGAGGAACACCAGUGGCGAAGGCGGCUCACUGGACCGGUACUGACGCUGAUGCGCGAAAGCGUGGGGAGCAAACGGGAUUGAAG